AUCCAGCUGACGAGUCCCGAACAGGACGAAACGAAGGUCCUGGAU
rfam:Schistosoma haematobium scaffold611_9, whole genome shotgun sequence.